rnacentral:rRNA from 1 species
UGGACGAAGUCUGACGGCAGCACGCCGCGUGAGUGAUGAAGGCUUUCGGGUCGUAAAACUCUGUUGUUAGGGAAGAACAAGUGCUAGUUGAAUAAGCUGGCACCUUGACGGUACCUAACCAGAAAGCCACGGCUAACUACGUGCCAGCAGCCGCGGUAAUA